rnacentral:misc_RNA from 1 species
UAAGUGACAUAAAAUAUAAAUAAAAAAUAAUAAAUAUUUGAAAAUAUCUUUUCCUUAAGUGUGGAUUUCCAACUGUCGAAAUAUUGUUUUAAAACCAAACGUUAUUAAUUGUUGAGUUUAUAAGUUGUAUAAUGGAAAAAAUUACGUGUUGUAAAAACUGGUCAUUUCUAAAAACAUUUACAAGAAACCACAGUUCAAAAGAAUGGCUAUUGCGACAAAAAACUGAUCCUUAUGUAGAAAAAGCCAAAAUAAAAAGUUAUAGAUGUAGAAGUGCAUUCAAACUAUUGCAAAUGGAUGAUAGAUUUUCUAUAUUGAAACCAGGCCAGUGUGUAAUAGAUAUUGGUGCAGCUCCGGGUAGCUGGUCACAAGUAGCUGCAUCUAAAAUUAAUUCAACUUCUACUAAUAGUGAAAUUCCAACAGGCUUACUGAUUGGUAUUGAUCUUCAACAAAUGUAUCCGAUAAAAGGAGUGACAUUAUUAGGAAAUUCUGAUUUUACAUCUCCUAAAACUUGGCAAAAGAUAAAAGAAUUAUUAAAUGGUCGUUCUAUAGAUGUUGUUUUAAGUGAUAUGGCACCUAACGCUUCAGGAGUGAAACAUUUAGAUCAUGAUUUAAUCAUAAAAUUAGCUUAUUCAGUAGUUAGAUUUGCUGUUUUAAAUUCAAAUGUUGGUGCAACGUGUUUAAUUAAAAUUUUAGAUGGUAAUCAAAAUUCAGAGAUUGAAAAUACUUUGUUAAAGUUUUAUUCAAAUGUAAAAUUUGUAAAACCUGAAGCCAGUCGAUCAGAUUCAGCAGAAAAAUAUUUACUUGCUCGUGGAUUUAAAGGACUUAAACAAAGUUAACUUCUGUCAAUGAAGGAAUGUUUACGCAUUAAUUAUUAUGCGUUCAAUCAAGAGUUUAAAUCGGACGACAUUAGCCAGUUUGCAUUGGAUUUUUUUCGAGAUA